AAAGGCCCUGCUUGCAGGGUACUCGAGUGGCGAACGGGUGAGUAACACGUGGGUGAUCUGCCCUGCACUUCGGGAUAAGCCUGGGAAACUGGGUCUAAUACCGGAUAGGAGCCAUUUUUAGUGUGAUGGUUGGAAAGUUUUUUCGGUGUAGGAUGAGCUCGCGGCCUAUCAGCUUGUUGGUGGGGUAAUGGCCUACCAAGGCGGCGACGGGUAGCCGGCCUGAGAGGGUGGACGGCCACAUUGGGACUGAGAUACGGCCCAGACUCCUACGAGAGGCAGCAGUGGGGAAUAUUGCACAAUGGGCGCAAGCCUGAUGCAGCGACGCCGCGUGGGGGAUGACGGCCUUCGGGUUGUAAACUCCUUUCGCUAGGGACGAAGCUUUUUGUGACGGUACCUAGAUAAGAAGCACCGGCUAACUACGUGCCAGCAGCCGCGGUAAUACGUAGGGUGCGAGCGUUGUCCGGAAUUACUGGGCGUAAAGGGCUCGUAGGUGGUUUGUCGCGUCGUCUGUGAAAUUCCGGGGCUUAACUCCGGGUGUGCAGGCGAUACGGGCAUAACUUGAGUACUGUAGGGGUAACUGGAAUUCCUGGUGUAGCGGUGAAAUGCGCAGAUAUCAGGAGGAACACCGAUGGCGAAGGCAGGUUACUGGGCAGUUACUGACGCUGAGGAGCGAAAGCAUGGGUAGCGAACAGG
rnacentral:rRNA from 1 species